rnacentral:rRNA from 1 species
UGAGGAAUAUUGGACAAUGGGUGGAAGCCUGAUCCAGCCAUCCCGCGUGAAGGAUGACGGUCCUAUGGAUUGUAAACUUCUUUUGUACAGGGAUAAACCUGCCCUCGUGAGGGCAGCUGAAGGUACUGUACGAAUAAGCACCGGCUAACUCCGUGCCAGCAGCCGCGGUAAUACGGAGGGUGCGAGCGUUAUCCGGAUUUAUUGGGUUUAAAGGGUCCGUAGGCGGGCCUGUAAGUCAGUGGUGAAAUCUCAUAGCUUAACUAUGAAACUGCCAUUGAUACUGCUGGCCUUGAGUAAAUUUGAAGUGGCUGGAAUAAAUAGUGUAGCGGUGAAAUGCAUAGAUAUUACUUAGAACACCGAUUGCGAAGGCAGGUCACUAGGAUUUAACUGACGCUGAUGGACGAAAGCGUGGGGAGCGAACA